GAUGAACGCUGGCGGCGUGCUUAACACAUGCAAGUCGAACGGUGAAGGCGGAGCUUGCUCUGCUGGAUCAGUGGCGAACGGGUGAGUAACACGUGAGCAAUCUGCCCCUGACUCUGGGAUAAGCGCUGGAAACGGCGUCUAAUACUGGAUACGAGCUGCGAAGGCAUCUUCAGCAGCUGGAAAGAAUUUCGGUCAGGGAUGAGCUCGCGGCCUAUCAGCCUGUUGGUGAGGUAAUGGCUCACCAAGGCGUCGACGGGUAGCCGGCCUGAGAGGGUGACCGGCCACACUGGGACUGAGACACGGCCCAGACUCCUACGGGAGGCAGCAGUGGGGAAUAUUGCACAAUGGGCGAAAGCCUGAUGCAGCAACGCCGCGUGAGGGACGACGGCCUUCGGGUUGUAAACCUCUUUUAGCAGGGAAGAAGCGAAAGUGACGGUACCUGCAGAAAAAGCGCCGGCUAACUACGUG
rnacentral:rRNA from 1 species